rnacentral:rRNA from 1 species
CGGACGGGUGAGUAACGCGUGGGUAACCUGCCUCAUACAGGGGGAUAACGGUUAGAAAUGACUGCUAAUACCGCAUAAGCGCACAGUACCGCAUGGUACGGUGUGAAAAACUCCGGUGGUAUGAGAUGGACCCGCGUCUGAUUAGCUAGUUGGUGAGGUAACGGCCCACCAAGGCGACGAUCAGUAGCCGACCUGAGAGGGUGAUCGGCCACAUUGGGACUGAGACACGGCCCAG